GAUGAACGCUGGCGGCGUGCCUAAUACAUGCAAGUCGAGCGAACAGACGAGGAGCUUGCUCCUCUGACGUUAGCGGCGGACGGGUGAGUAACACGUGGAUAACCUACCUAUAAGACUGGGAUAACUUCGGGAAACCGGAGCUAAUACCGGAUAAUAUAUUGAACCGCAUGGUUCAAUAGUGAAAGACGGUUUUGCUGUCACUUAUAGAUGGAUCCGCGCCGCAUUAGCUAGUUGGUAAGGUAACGGCUUACCAAGGCAACGAUGCGUAGCGGACCUGAGAGGAUGAGCAGCCACACUAGAACGGAGACACGGACCAGACUCCUACGGGAGGCAGCAGUGGGGAAUAUUGGACAAUGGGCGGAAGCCUGAGCCAGCCAUACCGCGUGAGUAAAGAAGGCCUUCGGGUUGUAAAGCCCUUUUGUUGGGAAAGAAAAGCAGCAGGUUAAUACCCCGCUGUUCUGACGGUACCCAAAGAAGAAGCACCGGCUAACUUCGUG
rnacentral:rRNA from 1 species